AUACUUACCUGGCAGGGGAGAUACCAUGAUCACGAAGGUGGUUUUCCCAGGAUGAGGCUUACCCAUUGCAUUCUGGAUGUGCUGACCCCUUGUGAUUUCCCCAAAUGCAGAAAACUCAACUGCAUAAUUUGUGGUAGUGGGUGACUGCAUUUGCACUCUUCCU
ensembl:snRNA U1 U1 spliceosomal RNA